GCAGCAACAAACCAACAAUUUCCCACAACUCCCUGGUUCAGGUCAUGGGCGCUGAUGCCCUCCACAAACAGGCUGGGCGCAUUGCUGAUCUCCUUUAGCAGAAAGGAGGUGGUUUCCUAAAAUACAGCGAUGAAUUGAUAACAGGGAACUCUGCGUCCUCAAACAGCGUCUUGUCAUUGAUGCAGUUCCUCUUCAGUUCAGCGUAGUGCUGGUUUUUGUACGGGACAGCAGAGGAGAACAUGGUGCAGACGCUGAAGCCUCACAGCUGCAGAGGGAUGACACACAAUAUAAAAGGUGUGCUGCAUUGCUGUAACGAGGUUCAGACGCCGUGCACCUGGAGAAGGAAGUCCUUAAAAGCUCCAGUGCAGCAGCAGAAGAGGGGGAGUCCUCUGGUGUGGGGACUGCUGUGUUUAUGCUCUAAUCCUAGAAUGUGUAGUUGAACAUGUUACAUCUUGAUUAUAAUAAAUCUGGAUUUGAUGAUUUUAAAGGUGUCUUUUGUGUUCUAUUUGGGUCAGUGGUGGAAUUUUGUUUGCCCCAUAGGGCCACUUUAAGGGUGGGGCGUAACACUCACCAACACUAAUGUUUGUCAUUUACAGAAAUCUUCAGGUGGAAUUCAAACUCAAAACGUCUCUAAAGUGUUGUGUCAUUGGCACAAUAACUGUCAAGUUCUAAAGAAAAACAUGAAUUGUGUUUAAAGCUGGAUCUUGUCCCAUAAAAAAUGAAACUCUAACUCAGCUGUAUUCUCUGGAGAAAGAUGAUUUAUGAACUAUUGAUCUUUUUGUUCC